rnacentral:tRNA from 1 species
AGCGCUUUAGCCAAGUAGAAAGGCACGGCUGUGACAUGGCCGCACGCGCUGGUGCGAUUCCAGCAAGCGCUACCA